rnacentral:rRNA from 1 species
GAUGAACGCUGGCGGCGUGCUUAACACAUGCAAGUCGAACGGAAAGGCCGAAGCUUGCUUCGGUACUCGAGUGGCGAACGGGUGAGUAACACGUGGGUGAUCUGCCCUGUACUUCGGGAUAAGCUUGGGAAACUGGGUCUAAUACCGGAUAUGACAAUCUCUUGGAUGGGGUUGUGGAAAGCUUUUGCGGUAUGGGAUGAGCUCGCGGCCUAUCAGCUUGUUGGUGGGGUAAUGGCCUACCAAGGCGUCGACGGGUAGCCGGCCUGAGAGGGUGUACGGCCACAUUGGGACUGAGAUACGGCCCAGACUCCUACGGGAGGCAGCAGUGGGGAAUAUUGCACAAUGGGCGCAAGCCUGAUGCAGCGACGCCGCGUGGGGGAUGACGGCCUUCGGGUUGUAAACUCCUUUCGCAACCGACGAAGCUUUUUGUGACGGUAGGUUGAGAAGAAGCACCGGCUAACUACAUG